AUGUCGGAGGAGAAGCACCACCACCUGUUCCACCACAAGGAGGGCGAGGACUUCCAGCCCGCCGCUGACGGCGGCGUCGACACGUACGGGUACUCGACCGAGACGGUGGUGACCGCCACCGGCAACGACGGCGAGUACGAGCGGAUCACCAAGGAGGAGAAGCACCACAAGCACAAGGAGCACCUCGGCGAGAUGGGCGCAGCCGCGGCCGGAGCCUUCGCCCUCUACGAGAAGCACGAGGCGAAGAAGGACCCGGAGCACGCGCACAAGCACAAGAUCGAGGAGGAGGUGGCUGCCGCCGCAGCCGUCGGCGCCGGCGGCUUCGUCUUCCACGAGCACCACGAGAAGAAGCAGGACCACAAGGAGGCCGUGCGUGUGCCUACGUUACGUGCGUUCCAUAAGUGA
rnacentral:rRNA from 1 species